CGUUAGCUGUGUAUGCAAACGUGUGCGCACCAGGUUUCGAGGUGGUUCACCGGAUCGAUUACCGGUUGACCAACCGUAACACACUCCGGUUCCUUCGUAGCCAGCUGCUUUUAAUGGUUGUCGAUCUUGUGGAGUCUUUCAAGAGUGGACACGGACACUUCAGCGCGAGGUGCAAUUUUUCACCAAAUAUCCCUCCGAGUACACACACACACACAGACACCCGAGCCCUGGAUCUUCAAACUAUCUACGAUAGCACACAUACACAAACCCACGAAAGGACGAACGUGUUCAAGUGGCAUAGGACAACGACUAUGGAAAUGAGCCCAUGCGACCACAACAUGUUGCUCAAGAAUCCUCGGCCUUUGCUCGAACCACAGCACUGCACCAUCGUGCUUGAAGCUUUCCGAUAGGCAAAUGAGACGACCUCUGCUGGAUUAACAGGAUCAAAGUGGCGGAUGCGCGACACAAGACAACGGGGGGGGGACAACACUCCUGAUUAUCGAAGCGCUCGUGGUGCGCCACUUGAACAGCACAACAAAGUAAGCCACGACAACGAGCAAAUUCCAACCAGCCCCAGCAUUUUCAUGGGGGAAGGACAUUGGGUAGGAAUGAUAACGAAAAUCGCAUUCACAACACCUCCCCGGGGGCGGCAGCCCGUUUGCGCCGGUAAAGACGGAAGAAAUAGCGCGUUGAAUCAGUGCAGCGAUAGGGCCAAAACGGGGCCACUCACUUCGCCGCGUUACUGGCUGGCGUGACUAGCGACAGUUUCCGCGGGGACAGUGAGGGAGAAUCUUCCUUGAAGCCACCACGCGCUCCAAGAAGCGCAAACUUUCACACUCGCAAACAGAUUGCCCAGUGUGCCAUGAAAUUCUUACGUUGGACUGAAUUUCAUAUCCCACGACACACUGCAGCGCCAGGAUUAUACACCCGCGAGCUGUGGACAGAGCCGUCAGCAGCACCUUCUCCCUGCCCGUUGGUGUCGUUAGGAGAAAGUGUAUUGACGUCCACCCUUCCUUUGUGUGUGCGCUGUGCUGCCAGAGCGUGUAAACUGGAAGACAAAAGGGCAGCCUCGGCAUCGGUUCAACAUUCAUCAUGCUUCAGUGUUGCUUCCAUUUGUAGUAUGCUUUUUGUCGUCUAAAAGUCGCGCACACCAGCACACACACACACACACGCGCAGCCAAGUCCGCGCUUGGGCCAAAUGAGUUGGCGAAGUGGAAAAUCGUGCCACCCAGUGCCCAUAUUAUUCGCAACGCACGCAAUCGAACCAGCAGCGCCAGCAUGAAAAAAGCUUGGCCAUUCCACACUAAAAAGACCUCCCGCGUGACCCGCUCGGAACCGAAUGAGCCGUGUGUUGGCGAGCGGGCAAUCAGCAUGCCCUUUUGGAUUGCGUACCGUCAAACUUCACCGUUUGCCCGGGACGUGCCAGGGAGACACAUGGGAGAGGGAGGCGACGCAAUCCCCACGCAAGCACCUCAGCGAGACCUCCGGAGGGAAGAAUAGAGGGAACACCAUUCAUAUUUCACGGCACAGGACACGGUGCACGGUCCAGUGAGCACCAAAUCCCUUUCACUUCGUGUCCCGAGCGCCGUGUCGCCACCUGGACCACCGAUGCGAGCGGAGCGCACAGACACACACACACAAAGGGACCUCCUCCAAACGCGACAAAUUAAAGGACACCCUGUGAAGUGUCUACCACCAACUUCCUUUGGGGUGGAGGGGGGGGGAGGUACAUUCACACAAGAACAAGCGCACACACACACGCACACGGCUGAAAUGGGUAAGAAAGAACUCGGCCCCUUCGCGCACUACUGCUGGUACAGUGCCCUUCCGCUAGCACACCAGCCGCCACCACCACAUUGCUAAUUCAAGCUCGUUUUGCACUUUCGUCUCACUCCCGUUCUUUCGCCCCUUGUAGCAUACGUUCAGGUUUAAAAAAGCAAACGAGAAUUGGCGUGACACAUGCACGGCACACGGCGGUGAAGGAGGAGGAGAAAAAUCCAGGGAAAAAGGGGUCAGCGGGGGACCUCACCGGAACAGGGCCAAAUCCGGCUGCUGAGAUUUUUCUUGCUCUCUGUCUCUGUGAUCCUGCUGUUGUGUUCCCCUUCCCCUUUCCGUUUGCCUGCACCGCUUCCCGAACAAUCCUAAUCCACAAACACACACACACACAUGCACACACGCGCACACACAAACACCAUCCCCAGGGUAAGGAGGAGGGAGGUCUUGGUUCUGUUGCUCAACAGACACUAAGUGGUGUAGGAACUCUCUACACAAGUUCUCCCUUGUGCUUUUUCUGCAGCACGCACAGCGGCAACGUCUACCAACCCGCAUGAAAUCUCUCCGGCUACUGAGUGAGUAGCCGAGACCCGAGCGCGCGGCCGGUACGCGAAUUCCGGAUGCCCGCAGGAGCGCACUCGGGUUCGACGAUGAUGAUGCUGCUGCUGCUGCUGCCGCUGACGAUGAUGAUGAUGACGAUAUGGUACCGUCCCGUUCGCACAGGCUUUCGGUUUCACAUGGGACCAUCGGUUGACGUAAUAACACGGCAGAGUGGACCCCCGCCGAAAUGGAAAAGCUCCCGCCGUGUGCACGCAGCGCGCAACAGUACCGGAGCACCGGGAUGUAAGCGGUAGGGGAAGUACGGUGUGUACGAUAGGGGAAGGCGCGAGUCCUUUUUUCCUGCCACUGCUGCUGUACCGUGGAAAUCGAUCGGAGCUGGUGACGUAGGUUAGAGCGAGACGACCGGUUGUUUGCCGCAUGGGGAAAGUGUUGCUCUCCGCUCGGGAAAACAUCGCAGCAGGCGCUUUCGGAAAGCACUUUACUUUUCUGGAAGCUUUUCUUGAAAGGAUAACAUCGCUUCACGCAUCACGCGCGAAAGGAUUUUAAACGCUUUCGACUGGAAGCCUGGUAAAUGGUUAACAUUUCUUUUAUAAAUUUAUUUGUCCAUUAAGAGCAAAACAAGGCAACGAUAGUUCAAUAUGUAUCUAUAAAAAAAACAUCAUAACUAGAACGAAAGGAAACACGCUGACGUGCAUUUUCAAAAGAGGUUUGCAAAGCAACAAAACAAACUUAUAGAGUACCCGUCCGAAUCGUAACAAGGGAUUUUGCAUUACACAGCAGUACUAAACCUACCCUACCUAUAUCCUAUUACCCGCUUCACUUAAGUGCGCCUAGUGUGUGUGUGUGUUGUAUGUUUUGUGUAUGAAUUCGUUCUGUUAACUAAUCUUUGAUUUUGGUUUUUCGUCCGAUCGCUUUUGGUUUACCAUUUCGCGGUCCCGUCCAAUAAAAAGCUCAAAGCUUGUUCCAAACUCCCGAACCCAAAGGCAUUUCGGUGCCCUUUCCGGGCGGGUGGCUUCCAGUGCACGAAGAAAUUACAUUUCUGCCGACCGGUUGACGGACUCAGCUCAGCCGUCCCUGUAGGAUUGGUUCCGUUUUGCACAGGUUCAUCAUGGUGCGUAUCUGGCCGGAGGUGUUUAGCCCGUACACAUCGAACCCGCUGCGAUCCAUGAUGCAGAUUCUACGGUAAAGAGGAUGGAAAGCAAUGGAUAUUUUCAAUAAAUGUACACAUACGUUAGCA